rnacentral:rRNA from 1 species
AGAGUUUGAUCCUGGCUCAGGAUGAACGCUAGCGGCAGGCCUAACACAUGCAAGUCGAGGGGCAGCACGAAUUAGCUUGCUAAUUUGGUGGCGACCGGCGCACGGGUGCGUAACGCGUAUGCAACCUACCUUAUACAGGGGUAUAGCCCGGAGAAAUUCGGAUUAAUCCCCCAUGGUACUGAUUGAUCGCAUGAUUAAUCAGUUAAAGCUUCGGCGGUAUAAGAUGGGCAUGCGUCCUAUUAGCUAGAUGGUAAGGUAACGGCUUACCAUGGCUACGAUAGGUAGGGGGCCUGAGAGGGUGACCCCCCACACUGGUACUGAGACACGGACCAGACUCCUACGGGAGGCAGCAGUGAGGAAUAUUGGUCAAUGGGCGCAAGCCUGAACCAGCCAUGCCGCGUGCAGGAAGAAUGCCCUAUGGGUUGUAAACUGCUUUUAUUUGGGAAUAAACCUUUCUACAUGUAGAAAGCUGAAGGUACCAAAUGAAUAAGCACCGGCUAACUCCGUGCCAGCAGCCGCGGUAAUACGGAGGGUGCAAGCGUUAUCCGGAAUCAUUGGGUUUAAAGGGUCCGCAGGCGGAUUUAUAAGUCAGUGGUGAAAGCCUACAGCUUAACUGUAGAACUGCCAUUGAUACUGUAAGUCUUGAAUUCGGUCGAAGUGGGCGGAAUGUGUAGUGUAGCGGUGAAAUGCAUAGAUAUUACACAGAACACCGAUAGCGAAGGCAGCUCACUAGGCCUGGAUUGACGCUCAGGGACGAAAGCGUGGGGAUCAAACAGGAUUAGAUACCCUGGUAGUCCACGCUGUAAACGAUGAUUACUCGUUUUCGGCGAUAUACAGUCGGAGACUAAGCGAAAGUGAUAAGUAAUCCACCUGGGGAGUACGAUCGCAAGGGUUGAAACUCAAAGGAAUUGACGGGGGCCCGCAC